UGGCUCUCGCAUCGAUGAAGAACGCAGCGAAAUGCGAUAAGUAAUGUGAAUUGCAGAAUUCAGUGAAUCAUCGAAUCUUUGAACGCACCUUGCGCUCCUUGGUAUUCCGAGGAGCAUGCCUGUUUGAGUGUCAUUACAUUCUCAACCGUUUGGAUUUUGCUAUUUGAACGGCUUGGACUUGGGGGUAUUUGUGCCGGCCCUAAAGGUCGGCUCCCCUUAAAUGCAUUAGCUGGGUCGCCCCUCUCGCGUUGACUUGGUGUGAUAUUUCUAUUUGCACCGCUUUGGCGUGGAUCUGGGAGGCUGCUUUCUAACCGGUCCCUUGUGGACAGCAGUCUCUUUCAUUAGAAAGAGCAAUGACACCUCUUGACCUCAAAUCAGGUAGGACUACCCGCUGA
rnacentral:misc_RNA from 1 species